AUUUUGCGCAAUGGGCGAAAGCCUGACGCAGCAACGCCGCGUGCGGGAUGAAUGCCUUCGGGUUGUAAACCGCUUUCAGCAGGGAUGAGAUUGACAGUACCUGCAGAAGAAGCCCCGGCUAACUACGUGCCAGCAGCCGCGGUAAUACGUAGGGGGCGAGCGUUAUCCGGAUUCAUUGGGCGUAAAGAGCGCGUAGGCGGCUUGUUAAGCGAGAUGUGAAAACCGGAGGCUUAACCCGCGGCCUGCAUCUCGAACUGGCAGGCUUGAGUCUGGUAGAGGAGUGUGGAAUUCCCAGUGUAGCGGUGAAAUGCGCAGAUAUUGGGAGGAACACCAGUGGCGAAGGCGGCACUCUGGGCCACGACUGACGCUGAGGCGCGAAAGCUAGGGGAGCGAACAGG
rnacentral:rRNA from 1 species